rnacentral:lncRNA from 1 species
AUACGGGUGGCUAACCGGAAUACAACGAAGAUGAUUUUGAGCAAAGUAGGGAAGAGGCCGGCGGUACGUAGGGCCCCUGCCGUAUUUAAUGGUAUUCGAAACGAUAAGGAGAGGAGGACCCACAUGCAGAAAUCGGGCGUUUAUGGUGUCCCGGUUGGCCUGAGGGAGGCCGGCAGGGAUGCGUCAUGCAUGGGGGUCGCUGGGAGAGCACUCGGGCGGAGGGUGGGGGAGCAUAAACAUGAUGUGGCGGUGGGGGUCGCCGCCGCUGCCCUCGCAGAGGCGGCCUAUGCUCAGCAAGUCGAAGUGGACUGGGAGGGAGCAGCGAU